rnacentral:rRNA from 1 species
AGAGUUUGAUCCUGGCUCAGAUUGAACGCUGGUGGCAUGCUUAACACAUGCAAGUCGAACGGUAACAGGUCUUCGGAUGCUGACGAGUGGCGGACGGGUGAGUAACGCGUAGGAAUCUGCCAUCUGUGGGGGAUACCAGUUGGAAACGACUGUUAAUACCGCAUAAUAUCUGCGGAUUAAAGGUGGCCUUUGCGCUGCCGCAGAUGGAUGAGCCUGCGUUGGAUUAGCUAGUUGGUGGGGUAAGGGCCUACCAAGGCUACGAUCCAUAGCUGAUUUGAGAGGAUGAUCAGCACAUUGGGACUGAGACACGGCCCAAACUCCUACGGGAGGCAGCAGUGGGGAAUAUUGGACAAUGGGGGAAACCCUGAUCCAGCAAUGCCAUGUGUGUGAAGAAGGCUCUAGGGUUGUAAAGCACUUUAGUUGGGGAGGAAAGCCUGUGAGUUAAUAGCUUGCAGGAAGGACGUUGCCCAAAGAAUAAGGACCGGCUAACUCCGUGCCAGCAGCCGCGGUAAUACGGGGGGUCCGAGCGUUAAUCGGAAUUACUGGGCGUAAAGGGUCUGUAGGUGGUUUGUUAAGUCAGAUGUGAAAGCCCAGGGCUCAACCUUGGAACUGCAUUUGAUACUGACAAACUAGAGUAUGGUAGAGGAAUAGGGAACUUCUGGUGUAGCGGUGAAAUGCGUAGAGAUCAGAAGGAACACCAAUGGCGAAGGCAACAUUCUGGACCAAUACUGACACUGAGGGACGAAAGCGUGGGGAUCAAACAGGAUUAGAUACCCUGGUAGUCCACGCUGUAAACGAUGAGUACUAGCUGUUGGAUUCGGUGUAAAGGAUCUAGUGGCGCAGCUAACGCGUUAAGUACUCCGCCUGGGGACUACGGCCGCAAGGCUAAAACUCAAAGGAAUUGACGGGGACCCGCACAAGCGGUGGAGCAUGUGGUUUAAUUCGAUGCAACGCGAAGAACCUUACCUGGUCUUGACAUCCUGCGAACUUUCUAGAGAUAGAUUGGUGCCUUCGGGAACGCAGUGACAGGUGCUGCACGGCUGUCGUCAGCUCGUGUUGUGAAAUGUUGGGUUAAGUCCCGCAACGAGCGCAACCCCUAUUGAUAGUUACCAUCAUUAAGUUGGGUACUCUAUUGAGACUGCCGCUGACAAGGCGGAGGAAGGUGGGGACGACGUCAAGUCAUCAUGGCCCUUACGACCAGGGCUACACACGUGCUACAAUGGGUAUUACAGAGGGCUGCGAAGGUGCGAGCUGGAGCGAAACUCAGAAAGGUACUCUUAGUCCGGAUUGCAGUCUGCAACUCGACUGCAUGAAGUCGGAAUCGCUAGUAAUCGCAGGUCAGAAUACUGCGGUGAAUACGUUCCCGGGUCUUGUACACACCGCCCGUCACACCAUGGGAGUGGGUUGCUCCAGAAGUAGAUAGCUUAACGAAUGGGCGUUUACCACGGAGUGAUUCAUAACUGGGGUGAAGUCGUAACAAGGUAGCCGUAGGGGAACCUGCGGCUGGAUCACCU